GACGAACGCUGGCGGCGUGCUUAACACAUGCAAGUCGAACGAAGAGCGAUGGAAGCUUGCUUCUAUCAAUCUUAGUGGCGAACGGGUGAGUAACGCGUAAUCAACCUGCCCUUCAGAGGGGGACAACAGUUGGAAACGACUGCUAAUACCGCAUACGAUCUAAUCUCGGCAUCGAGGAUAGAUGAAAGGUGGCCUCUACAUGUAAGCUAUCACUGAAGGAGGGGAGUGCGUCGGAUUAGCUAGUUGGAGGGGUAACGGCCCACCAAGGCGAUGAUCCGUAGCCGGUCUGAGAGGAUGGACGGCCACAUUGGGACUGAGACACGGCCCAGACUCCUACGGGAGGCAGCAGUGGGGAAUCUUCCGCAAUGGACGAAAGUCUGACGGAGCAACGCCGCGUGAGUGAUGACGGCCUUCGGGUUGUAAAGCUCUGUUAAUCGGGACGAAAGGCCUUCUUGCGAAUAGUGAGAAGGAUUGACGGUACCGGAAUAGAAAGCCACGGCUAACUACGUG
rnacentral:rRNA from 1 species